UACGUAGGGUGCGAGCGUUAAUCGGAAUUACUGGGCGUAAAGUGUGCGCAGGCGGCCGAGCAGGUCGAGUGUGAAAGCCCCGAGCUUAACUUGGGAACUGCGCUCGAAACUACUUGGCUAGAGUGUGGCAGAGGGAGGUGGAAUUCCACGUGUAGCGGUGAAAUGCGUAGAGAUGUGGAGGAACACCGAUGGCGAAGGCAGCCUCCUGGGCCAACACUGACGCUCAUGCACGAAAGCGUGGGGAGCAAACAGG
rnacentral:rRNA from 1 species